UUUUUGGUGACCGCUGCGGCUUUCUUAACACAUGCAAGUCGAGGGGUAACAUUGGUGCUUGCACCAGAUGACGACCGGCGCACGGGUGAGUAACGCGUAUACAAUCUACCUAUUACUGGGGUAUAGCCCGGAGAAAUUUGGAUUAACCCCCCAUGGUAUGUAAAAGUGGCAUCACUUUUACAUUAAAAUUACGGUGGUAAUAGAUGAGUAUGCGUUCCAUUAGUUAGUUGGUAAGGUAACGGCUUACCAAGGCAGCGAUGGGUAGGGGUCCUGAGAGGGAGAUCCCCCACACUGGUACUGAGACACGGACCAGACUCCUACGGGAGGCAGCAGUGAGGAAUAUUGGACAAUGGAGGCAACUCUGAUCCAGCCAUGCCGCGUGCAGGAAGACUGCCCUAUGGGUUGUAAACUGCUUUUACAGAGGAAGAACCGCACCCACGUGUGGGUGUUUGACGGUACUCUGCGAAUAAGGAUCGGCUAACUCCGUGCCAGCAGCCGCGGUAAUACGGAGGAUCCAAGCGUUAUCCGGAAUCAUUGGGUUUAAAGGGUCCGUAGGCGGGACAAUAAGUCAGUGGUGAAAGUCUGCACUUAACUGUAGAACUGCAUUGGAACUGUAGUCCUUUGAGUAUUAUGAA
rnacentral:rRNA from 1 species